AGCGAACGUUUGCGGCGGGCUUAACACAUGCAAGUCGAACGGGCUGUUCCUUCGGGGGCAGUCAGUGGCGCACGGGUGCGUAACACGUAGGUAAUCAACCCUCUGGUUGGGGAUAACACUUCGAAAGGAGUGCUAAUACCCGGUAUGGCGCAGCGGUCUUCGGAUCGCGGCGAGAAAGACCCGCAAGGGUUGCCAGAGGACGAGCCUGCGGCCCAUCAGCUAGUUGGCGAGGUAACGGCUCACCAAGGCGAAGACGGGUAGCUGGUCUGAGAGGAUGAUCAGCCACACUGGAACUGAGACACGGUCCAGACUCCUACGGGAGGCAGCAGUGGGGAAUUUUGGACAAUGGGCGCAAGCCUGAUCCAGCAAUGCCGCGUGCAGGACGAAGGCCUUCGGGUUGUAACUGCUUUUGUACAGAACGAAAAAGACCUACUUCUAAUACAGGGGUGGCAUGACGGUACUGUAAGAAUAAGCACCGGCUAACUACGUGCCAGCA
rnacentral:rRNA from 1 species